rnacentral:tRNA from 1 species
AUUGGGAAAAUUUCCCAAUCAGAAAUAUUCAAUUAUUCAUAUAGUUUAUUCUAAAACAUUACAUUUUCAUUGUAAAAUUAAACAAUCUUUUAUGA